rnacentral:rRNA from 1 species
CGCCAGCAGCCGCGGUAAUACGGAGGAUGCAAGCGUUAUCCGGAUUCAUUGGGUUUAAAGGGUGCGCAGGCGGAAUGAUAAGUCAGAGGUGAAAUCCAACAGCUUAACUGUUGAACUGCCUUUGAUACUGUCGUUCUUGAGUAUAGUUGGAGUGGGCGGAAUGUGUCAUGUAGCGGUGAAAUGCUUAGAUAUGACACAGAACACCGAUCGCGAAGGCAGCUCGCUAAGCUAUAACUGACGCUCAUGCACGAAAGCGUGGGGAUCAAACAGGAUUAGAUACCCUGGUAGUCCACGCCGUAAACGAUGAUUACUCGAUGUUGGCGAUAUACAGUCAGCGUCUAAGCGAAAGCAUUAAGUAAUCCACCUGGGGAGUACGGCCGCAAGGUUGAAACUCAAAGGAAUUGACGGGGGCCCGCACAAGC